GUUUUCUGAAAGAUCUCCUCGCUGCUUUGCGUAGUGUCUGCACCAGUUCAUUCUCUCAGCAGCAGGGAAUAGAAUGGACCCCUUAGUCUUGAGGGGAGGUAUUUGAUGAAGACAUUCUUUUUUGGCCAAGUGCUCCAAGAUCUCUCAGGGGCUGCACAUCAUCCAAUUUUGGAUCUGUAUCUCCAUGUUUAUUACUAUCUACUGCAAGAAGACGCUUCUGUGAUGAGAGCUGAUCAAAACAUUGAUAUAUAGGUGCCUGAGGAGGUCAGAAAAGGAAUUUAGAUACCAUGGAACUGGAUUUAUAGGCAAUUGUGAGCUGCCUGAUGUGGGUACUUGAACCAAACUCAGAUCCUCUGC